rnacentral:rRNA from 1 species
GUGGGGAAUAUUGCGCAAUGGGGGAAACCCUGACGCAGCAAUACCGCGUGAGUGAAGAAGGUUUUCGGAUCGUAAAACUCUUUUAUUGGGGAAGAAGAAGUGACGGUACCCAAUGAAGAAGUCCCGGCUAACUACGUGCCAGCAGCCGCGGUAAUACGUAGGGGACAAGCGUUGUCCGGAAUCACUGGGCGUAAAGGGCGCGUAGGCGGUUUUAUAAGUCAGAUGUGAAAGGUACCGGCUCAACCGGUGACGUGCAUUUGAAACUGUAAGACUUGAGUACUAGAGAGGCAAGUGGAAUUCCUAGUGUAGCGGUGAAAUGCGUAGAUAUUAGGAGGAACACCGGUGGCGAAGGCGGCUUGCUGGACAGAUACUGACGCUGAGGUGCGAAAGCGUGGGGAGCGAACAGGAUUAGAAACCCUGGUAGUCC